UACGGAGGGUGCGAGCGUUGUCCGGAAUCACUGGGCGUAAAGGGCGCGUAGGCGGCCGUGUAAGUCACUUGUGAAAUCCCGGGGCUCAACUCCGGGGCUGCAGGUGAGACUGCGUGGCUAGAGCACGGUAGAGGCGAGUGGAAUUCCCGGUGUAGCGGUGGAAUGCGUAGAUAUCGGGAAGAACACCGGUGGCGAAGGCGGCUCGCUGGGCCGUUGCUGACGCUGGUGCGCGAAAGCCAGGGGAGCGAACGGG
rnacentral:rRNA from 1 species